GUUUUCUGGUCUGUGCGUCCGUUCGUCCGUCGUACCGUCCGUCCGUCUGUCUGUUCGUCCGUCUGUCCCGCUCCAGGUUAAAGUUUUUGGUCAAGGUAGUUUAUGAUGAAGUUGAAGUCCAAUCGACUUCAAACUUAGUACACAUGUUCCCUAUGAUAUGAUCUUUCUAAUUUUAAUGCCAAAUUAGAGUUUUUACCCCAAUUUCACGGUCCACUGAACAUGGAAAAUGAUAGUGCGAGUGGGGCAUUCGUGUACUGAGGACACAUUCUUGUUUAACAUGUUAAA
rnacentral:lncRNA from 1 species